rnacentral:rRNA from 1 species
CCCUUAGAUGCUCUGGGCCGCACGCGCGCUACACUGGUCGAUGCAACGAGUUUCUUUCCUUGGCCGACAGGCCUGGGCAAUCUUUGAACAUCGAUCGUGAUCGGGAUAGAUUCUUGUAAUUUUUGAUCUUAAACGAGGAAUUCCUAGUAAACGCAAGUCAUCAGCUUGCAUUGAUUACGUCCCUGCCCUUUGUACACACCGCCCGUCGCACCUACCGGUUGAAUGGUCCGGUGAAAUCUCCGGACUGGCGUGAGUCGGAGCAAUCUGACAAACGCCGGAAAGUUGAUUAAACCUUACCAUUUAGAGGAAGGUGAAGUCGUAACA